AUACUUACCUGGCAGGGGAGAUACCAUGAUCACAAAGGUGGUUUUUUCCAGGUUGAGGCUCAUCCAUUGCACUU
rnacentral:snRNA from 1 species